CGCGUAGGUGGCCUUCUAAGUCGAACGUGAAAUCCCUGGGCUCAACCCAGGAACUGCGUCCGAUACUGGAAGGCUUGAAUCCGGGAGAGGGAUGCGGAAUUCCAGGUGUAGCGGUGAAAUGCGUAGAUAUCUGGAGGAACACCGGUGGCGAAGGCGGCAUCCUGGACCGGCAUUGACGCUGAGGCGCGAAAGCUAGGGAGCAAACG
rnacentral:rRNA from 1 species